rnacentral:lncRNA from 10 species
GUAUGGUGCUGGGUGCAGAUGCAGUGUGGCUCUGGAUAGCACCUUAUGGACAGUUGUGUCCCCAAGGAAGGAUGAGAAUAGCUACUGAAGUCCUAAAGAGCAAGCCUAACUCAAGCCAUUGGCACACAGGCAUUAGACAGAAAGCUGGAAGUUGAAAUGGUGGAGUCCAACUUGCCUGGACCAGCUUAAUGGUUCUGCUCCUGGUAACGUUUUUAUCCAUGGAUGACUUGCUUGGGUAUGGAGAGUCGGCUUGACUACACUGUGUGGAGCAAGUUUUAAAGAAGCAAAGGACUCAGAAUUCAUGAUUGAAGAAAUGCAGGGUUUUUAAUGACCACAACAAGCAAGCAUGCAGCUUACUGCUUGAAAGGUGAGGAUUGGAAAUGUUGGGACUAUUAUAAUUGCAGAAUACAUGAUGAUCUCAAUCCAACUUGAACUCUCUCACUGAUUACUUGAUGACAAUAAAAUAUCUGAUAUUCUGCAUUCCCAUGUAGCAUUUUAAUUGAAGUCUGUAAAUGUGGCUAAAAGUCUUGUCUUAUUUUUUGAGACAGGGUCUUGCCUCACCCAAGCUAGAGUGCAGUGGCCUUUGAAGCUUACUACAGCCUCAAACUUCUGGGCUCAAGUGAUCCUCAGCCUCCCAGUGGUCUUUGUAGACUGCCUGAUGGAGUCUCAUGGCACAAGAAGAUUAAAACAGUGUCUCCAAUUUUAAUAAAUUUUUGCAAUCCA